rnacentral:misc_RNA from 1 species
AGUUUGAAGCUGCGGCGGUUAAAGGUGCCACUCUUUUAUUUUGAUUAUAAACAGUAGAUGACUAGAUGAGAUUAUGUUUAGAAUGUACGCGAUUUUGCUGAUUGCACAUGAUUCAUUUGUUGAUUCCACAUCUGUCUUUCGAUUGAUUGUUUAAGAUCAAAGUUUGGUGGGCAUAAUGAGGAUACAGUGAAAUGGAAUUGGAUAAAUUUUGAUAACUGUUUUGUCUCUGAAUUUAUUUAGCUGUAAUAUUAGUCUCUCAACUUAAAAAUAUAAUUUUAUACAGCAAAAUCUUUUACCUCCAUUUACCAAUUCCUCUCACCUCCAAUUACCUUAUUAGUAUUUCUUUUCACAUGUUUAAAUUGAAUCAUUUUUCUCUCUA